UGCUAAAUUUUCAUUCAAUAUACUCUCUCUCUCUCUCGUCAACCUUCCCUCAUCAUCUUUGCUAUUGCAUAAUCAGAAAUUCUAUUUCCACCCACUGAAAAAAAAAAGUCUUUGCUUCCUGAAUUAACACAAAAAUGCACCCGAAAACAUUUCAACAGACCAGAAGCAAGUCCCCAGCCCAGAGUUGACAGCUAGAAAAGCGGAGCUCCAUGCCAGACAACACGUGGGAAAGGUUACGAAAUUUGAAGCUAGAUUGUAGAUCUCAAGGUGCUAACAGUUGGUGUUUGUGAAUUUCAAAUUACAAGAUCUAAACUGUAAGCCCAAUCGCAGACAACGAUUCAUUCUAGAGAAAAACCAAACGGUUUGAAGGAGUAAGAACAGACGCGAUAUGUCGGAAUAUUCAGUAUUUUGUCUCAUUAACAGGCUGGUUCCCUUGCUGACCAAAGAAGCAAAACUGUUAGGAGGCAUCCAUGGAGAAGUAGCUGACAUCAAAGAUGAACUGGAGAGCAUUCAAUCCUUCCUCAGGGACGCAGAUGCAAGAGCAACAGCUGAAGAAGACAUGAGCGAGGGUGUCAAAACAUGGGUGAAACACGUUAGAGAAGUAGCUUUUCACAUAGACGUUGCAAUCGACCAAUACUUGCUUCACGUGGCAGUUCAUGAUCCUCAUCGGCGUGGUCUCAACGGUUUCCUGCAAAAAACCACUCACUUUCUCAAAUCAUUGAAAGUCCGUCAUAAGAUAGCUAGUGAGGUUCAUUAGAUCAAAGCAUCGCUGCAUAAAAUUAAGGAAAGAAGCGAAAAAUAUCACUUCCAAUCCACUGGCCAAGGAUCAAGCUAUGGUGCUCGGAAUGUUAGCUGGAAUGACCCUCGAAAGGACUCCCUUUAUCUUGAGGAUACUGAUGUUGUUGGAAUUGAAUCUUCUAGAAAUGAAUUGAUAGGCCGGUUGGUAGAAGGACAACCUCAUCGUAUUGUAAUUUCGGUAGUAGGAAUGGGGGGACUAGGCAAGACCACACUUGCCAAAAAAAUCUAUGAUCAUCAAAUGGUUAGAGGACACUUUGAAUGCUAUGCAUGGAUUUCAGUGUCUAAAUCUUACAACAUACAAGAUCUAUUAAGAAGCAUCAUAAAGCAAUUUCAUGAGGCCAGAAUGGAGCUUCCUAUGCCGGAAAUUGACACAAUGGAUGAGCAAUCAGUGGUAAGUAAAUUAAGAGAUUACUUAUGGCUAAAAACGCAUGUGGUCAUAUUUGAUGAUGUAUGGAAAAUUGACUUUUGGGAGGGUAUAAAACAUGCUUUGCCUGAUGAUAAUAAUAAGGGUGGUAGAAUUAUGAUCACAACACGUAAUCGGGAGGUAGCUAGUUUUUGUAAAAAAUCUUCACAUGUUGAUGUUUUUGAAUUGCAACCGCUAACUCCUGAUGAGGCAUGGGAGCUAUUCUGCAAAAGGGCGUUCCAAUUUGAAUUUGGAGGACAUUGUCCCCCAAUAUUGGAGAAAUUCAUGUCUCAGGACAUUGUUGAGAAGUGCAAAGGCUUACCACUUGCAAUUGUUGCUAUAGGUGGUCUUCUGUCAGCCAAAGACAAAACUGUCUUUGAAUGGAAAAACUUGCAUGAUAGUGUUGGGUUUGAGUUAGGAAGAAAUCCCUAUCUUACAGGUGUUGAUAAAAUCUUGUCCCUAAGUCAUGAAGACUUGCCAUGCCACCUCAAAUCUUGCUUAUUAUACCUUGGUAUGUAUCCAGAAGAUUACUCCAUUAGGUGCAUCUAAUUGAUUAGACAAUGGAUAGCUAAAGGAUUUGUGAAGGAAUUGGAGGGUAAAACAUUUGAGGAAGUUGCACAAGAAUACUAG